CUUCCCCUUCCUGCUGUGAGUGACGCUCAAUGGUGUUUUAAGCCCCACAAAGUCGACUUGCAGGCAGCGCUGCGACCCUUGACUUCAAGGAACCUAGCCCUAACCAUUGCCUAAUCCUAGCAGCACUGCGCU